rnacentral:lncRNA from 1 species
UGAGGCUUACCAGCUACUUGCCUGUUGCUAUAGUUUCUUUUCUAUGACUCUCAGUAAAAUGUACACCUUAUUCAUCCCUCCACUUGCAGAUGGAUACUGGGCUGUUCAUACCUUCCUAGGCUUUGGCAAGCAUCUUUUCCAGAUUCUUCUCUGGGAUGUGCUUUUCACUGUCUUAAUAGCAUCCUUUGAAGAAUAAACAGUUGGAUUCUUCAGCAAGCCUGCACCAACCCAAAUCCAGUGUUUGUUUCUGGUCCUGUUCAGUUUUGAGGCCCAGACCGCAUCAUUUGUAACUCCAAUUCCAAGGGAUCUGUCACCUGUUCUUUGCUCUGUGGUCACCUGCACACACAUACAAAUGCCACACACUCAAUAAAACAAAAUCCUUUUUUUUUUCUUUUUUUUUUUUUUCUUUUUUCUUUUUUUCGAGACAGGGUUUCUCUGUGUAGCUUUGGAGCCUAUCCUGGCACUCGCUCUGGAGACCAGGCUGGCCUCAAACUCUGCCUGCCUCUGCCUCCCGAGUACUGGGAUUAAAGGCGUGAGCCACUAAGCCCGACGAUU